UGUCCAGGGAUGGGAAUCGUACCCAUAGUGUUCCGUUUACUGGGCAAAUGCCAUGUCUACUAGGCUACCCUGUAC
rnacentral:tRNA from 1 species